AGAGUUUGAUCCUGGCUCAGGAUGAACGCUGGCGGCGUGCCUAAUACAUGCAAGUCGAGCGAACAGAUAAGGAGCUUGCUCCUUUGAAGUUAGCGGCGGACGGGUGAGUAACACGUGGGUAACCUACCUAUAAGACUGGGAUAACUUCGGGAAACCGGAGCUAAUACCGGAUAACAUUUAGAACCGCAUGGUUCUAAAGUGAAAGAUGGUUUUGCUAUCACUUAUAGAUGGACCCGCGCCGUAUUAGCUAGUUGGUAAGGUAACGGCUUACCAAGGCGACGAUACGUAGCCGACCUGAGAGGGUGAUCGGCCACACUGGAACUGAGACACGGUCCAGACUCCUACGGGAGGCAGCAGUAGGGAAUCUUCCGCAACGGGCGAAAGCCUGACGGAGCAACGCCGCGUGAGUGAUGAAGGGUUUCGGCUCGUAAAACUCUGUUAUUAGGGAAGAACAAAUGUGUAAGUAACUGUGCACAUCUUGACGGUACCUAAUCAGAAAGCCACGGCUAACUACGUG
rnacentral:rRNA from 1 species